GUACCCGGGCGAAUUCCAAGCUUGAGUUUGAUCCUGGCUCAGAGCGAACGCUGGCGGCAGGCUUAACACAUGCAAGUCGAACGGGCGUAGCAAUACGUCAGUGGCAGACGGGUGAGUAACGCGUGGGAACGUACCUUUUGGUUCGGAACAACACAGGGAAACUUGUGCUAAUACCGGAUAAGCCCUUACGGGGAAAGAUUUAUCGCCGAAAGAUCGGCCCGCGUCUGAUUAGCUAGUUGGUGAGGUAACGGCUCACCAAGGCGACGAUCAGUAGCUGGUCUGAGAGGAUGAUCAGCCACAUUGGGACUGAGACACGGCCCAAACUCCUACGGGAGGCAGCAGUGGGGAAUAUUGGACAAUGGGCGAAAGCCUGAUCCAGCCAUGCCGCGUGAGUGAUGAAGGCCCUAGGGUUGUAAAGCUCUUUUGUGCGGGAAGAUAAUGACGGUACCGCAAGAAUAAGCCCCGGCUAACUUCGUGCCAGCAGCCGCGGUAAUACGAAGGGGGCUAGCGUUGCUCGGAAUCACUGGGCGUAAAGGGUGCGUAGGCGGAUCUUUAAGUCAGAGGUGAAAGCCUGGAGCUCAACUCCAGAACUGCCUUUGAUACUGAGGAUCUCGAGUUCGGGAGAGGUGAGUGGAACUGCGAGUGUAGAGGUGAAAUUCGUAGAUAUUCGCAAGAACACCAGUGGCGAAGGCGGCUCACUGGCCCGAUACUG
rnacentral:rRNA from 1 species